rnacentral:misc_RNA from 1 species
CCAUCCCAUCAUAAUCCGCCCUACUCCCGACAACUUCCUCGUCAAAUACAAAGAAUGCAUGCGCAACCACGCCGCUUCCAUCGGCCGCCACGCUAGUGACGGCUGCGGCGAGUUCAUGCCUCGUGCAGACGAUGGCCUUACCUGCGCUGCUUGUGGAUGCCACCGUAAUUUCCACAGAAGGGAAGGUGCUUCUCUGAAUUUUGACCACCACCACUACCAACACCAAGUUUUCUCUACUGGUAAGAAACACUUGAUAACUUCUUACUGUGAUGAUGAUGAUGAUGAUGAACCAAAUACGUGCAUCAUUCUAUAGGUAGUGACCAACGGGAUAAUUAGCAGGAUGGGAUUUUCUAUUGGAAUUCCUUUAUUUAUUGGGUUAUUAUUCUUUCCGUUCUUUUACUACUUGAAGGUUGGAUUGAAGAUUGAAGUGCCCACAUGUGUGCCUUUCAUAGUGUCCUUCUUU